GAUGAAGAACGUAGCGAAAUGCGAUAAGUAAUGUGAAUUGCAGAAUUCAGUGAAUCAUCGAAUCUUUGAACGCACAUUGCGCCCGCCAGCAUUCUGGCGGGCAUGCCUGAUCGAGCGUCAUUUCAACCCUCGAGCCCCCCCGGGGGCCUCGGUGUUGGGGGACGGCACACCAGCCGCCCCCGAAAUGCAGUGGCGACCCCGCCGCAGCCUCCCCUGCGUAGUAGCACACACCUCGCACCGGAGCGCGGAGGCGGUCACGCCGUAAAACGCCCAACUUUUAAGAGUUGACCUCGAAUCAGGUAGGAAUACCCGCUGAACUUAAGCAUAUCAAUAAGCGGAGGA
rnacentral:misc_RNA from 1 species